GAUGAACGCUGGCGGCGUGCCUAAUACAUGCAAGUCGAGCGAAUGGAUUAAGAGCUUGCUCUUAUGAAGUUAGCGGCGGACGGGUGAGUAACACGUGGGUAACCUGCCCAUAAGACUGGGAUAACUCCGGGAAACCGGGGCUAAUACCGGAUAACAUUUUGAACCGCAUGGUUCGAAAUUGAAAGGCGGCUUCGGCUGUCACUUAUGGAUGGACCCGGGUCGCAUUAGCUAGUUGGUGAGGUAACGGCUCACCAAGGCAACGAUGCGUAGCCGACCUGGGAGGGUGAUCGGCCACACUGGGACUGAGACACGGCCCAGACUCCUACGGGAGGCAGCAGUAGGGAAUCUUCCGCAAUGGACGAAAGUCUGACGGAGCAACGCCGCGUGAGUGAUGAAGGCUUUCGGGUCGUAAAACUCUGUUGUUAGGGAAGAACAAGUGCUAGUUGAAUAAGCUGGCACCUUGACGGUAGGUGCAGAAGAAGGACCGGCCAACUACGUGCCAGCAGCCGCCGUAA
rnacentral:rRNA from 1 species